rnacentral:lncRNA from 1 species
GCUGAGGCAGGAGAAUGGCUUGAACCUGGAGGCGGAGGUUGCAGUGAGCCAAGGUUGCGCCACUGCACUCCAGCCUGGGCGACAGAGCAAGACUAAAAAAAAAAAAAAAAGAAAAAAUUAUGUAUCAGAAAACCUACAACGCACACAUUUAGUGGAGAAAUGUGUGAAGCAUUCCUUCUAAGGAAUGAGACAAGGAUGGCUGCUAUUGUCACUUUGUUUUAUUGGAGGCCUUAGGAACCACACAAGGAACUAAAGUUUUUGUUUUCUUUUGCAAAUUGUAUGACUGUUUAUAGAAAAUUCAACAAGACAGGUGUGGUGGCUCACACCUGUCAUCCCAGCUCUUUGGGAAGACCAGGCAGGCAGAUGGCUUGAACCCAAGAGUUCAAGACUAGCCUGGGCAACAUGGCAAAACCCCAUCUCUACAAAAAGUACAGAAAAAUUAGUCAGGAGUGGUGGCACAGGCCUGUGGUCCCAGCUACUCAGAGGGCUGAGAUAGGAGAAUCAUUGCUUGGGCCCAGGAGGUCGAGGCAGUGGUGAGCCAUGAUCACACCACUGCACUCCAGCCUGGGCAACAGCAAGUCCCUGCAAAGUUUAUAGUCAUAUAGAAUUAAGUAAUUCAGCAUGCUGCUUAAUACUAGAUCAAUAUGUGAAAUAAAUUACAAUUCUUUAUAUCAGUAAUAGAUAAAAAUGUAAAAUUACCCUUUACAACAGCAACAGAAAAUAUGAAAUGCUAGGGAAUAAUUCUAAUAAAAAGAGGAGCUGACCAAUGUGGAAAAGAUAGAAAGCUUUACUGAAAUACACUUAAAGACAUAAGUAAAUGGAGACAUACUAUUUUUAUGAAUAGGAAGACUCAUAAAAAUAUCUGUUUUUUCAAAAUCUACAAAUUCCAUGUAAGUCCAAUGAAAAUACUAACAGGCUUUUUCCUGGAACCUGAUGGUUGAAUAAACAAUUUAUAUGGAAGAGUAAAGGAACAAGAAAAGUUAAAGUGAUUUUUGAUGGAUAAGAAGAGCAGGAAGAAUUGACAUACAAAUGGUGCAGGCUUAUUAAAAACAUCAGUGAACGAGGCAGUGUGGCACCAGCACAGGGAUACACAAACAGAUAAAGUAAAGGGAGGAGACUGGAGAACCCAGUAACAGCCCCCCACGUAUGACAAUAUGUGACAGCAGUGACAUCAUAAUCAGUAGGGGUGGGGUAAGGAUGGACUAGUCAGUCAAUGAUGGUUAUUUAAAUAGAAAAAAGAAUUGGAUCUUUGACUAAAGAACAACAAAAACCCAAACAAAAAAUCCAGGUGGAUUAAAGACCUAAAUAUGAAAAGAAAUACAGAAGAAAACAGAUGUAGGGGAGGACUUCCUGAGUAAAACACAAAAAGCACAAAGUAAAAGGUAAAAUAUUAUUUCAGGCUGGGCGUGGUGCUUCACGCCUGUAAUCCCAGCACUUUGGGAGGCCGAGGCAGGUGGAUCACCUGAAGUCAGGAGUUCAAGACCAGCCUGGCCAACAUGGUGAAACUCUGUGUCUACUAAAAAUACAAAAAUUAGCUGGGUCUGGUGGCGCACACCUGUAGUCCCAGCUACUAGGGAGGCUG